rnacentral:rRNA from 1 species
UCCCCUAGUAACUGCGAGUGAAGCGGGAAAAGCUCAAAUUUAAAAUCUGGCAGUCUAUGGCUGUCCGAGUUGUAAUCUAGAGAAGUGUUGCCCGCGCUGGACCGUGUACAAGUCUCCUGGAAUGGAGCAUCAUAGAGGGUGAGAAUCCCGUCUUUGACACGGACUACCAGGGCUUUGUGGUAUGCUCUCAAAGAGUCGAGUUGUUUGGGAAUGCAGCUCAAAAUGGGUGGUAAAUUCCAUCUAAAGCUAAAUAUUGGCGAGAGACCGAUAGCGAACAAGUACCGUGAGGGAAAGAUGAAAAGAACUUUGGAAAGAGAGUUAAACAGUACGUGAAAUUGCUGAAAGGGAAACGCUUGAAGUCAGUCACAUUAGUUGGGGAUCAGCCUUGCUCCUGUGAGGUGUACUUUCCAGUUGAUGGGUCAGCAUCAAUUUUGACUGCUGGAAAAGGGCUUGAGGAAUGUGGCAGCUUCGGCUGUGUUAUAGCUUCUUGUCACAUACAGCAGUUGGGAUUGAGGAACUCAGCACGCCGCAAGGCCGGGUUUCGACCACGCUCGUGCUUAGGAUGCUGGCAUAAUGGCUUUAAGCGACCCGUCUUGAAACACGGACCAAGGAGUCUAACAUGCCUGCGAGUAUUUGGGUGGAAAACCCAAGUGCGUAAUGAAAGUGAAAGUUGAGAUCCCUGUCAUGGGGAGCAUUGACGCCCGGACCAGAACUUUUGGGACGGAUCCGCGGUAGAGCAUGUAUGUUGGGACCCGAAAGAUGGUGAACUAUGCCUGAAUAGGGUGAAGCCAGAGGAAACUCUGGUGGAGGCUCGUAGCGAUUCUGACGUGCAAAUCGAUCGUCAAAUUUGGGUAUAGGGGCGAAAGACUAAUCGAACCAUCUAGUAGCUGGUUCCUGCCGAA